AGAAAAGUGAGCAGGGAGAAGGAAAUAGACCAGACCUGGAACAUCUAGAAGAGCAGCGUGGCCUGAACCACAACUGAGCCGCAGCCGGCCCGGUGUAACAUGGACGAGGACAUUUCAGAGCAAGUUGGACCCUCACACACAAAAGGUCAGGACCACAGACUGAGAGCAGAGUCUCCAGGGUCCAGCUGUGUGUCUCUGAAGAGUGACAUGUCCAUGGGUAUUCCUCUAAACUUCAGUAAUGAACCUGGACCCUCACACACAGAAGAGAGGAAGAGGAGUCAU